CAUGCAAGUCGUACGAGAGUUUUUAACUCAAGUGGCGGACGGGUGAGUAACACGUGAGAAUUUGCCUUUAGGAGGGGGAUAACAGAGUGAAAACGCUGCUAAUACCCCAUAUGCUUUCGAGUGAAAUGGAUUUAUUCGCCUAAAGAGAAGCUCGCGGCUGAUUAGCUUGUUGGUAAGGUAAUGGCUUACCAAGGCGACGAUCAGUAUCUGGUUUGGGAGGACGAUCAGACACACUGGAACUGAGACACGGUCCAGACUCCUACGGGAGGCAGCAGUGGGGAAUUUUCCGCAAUGGGCGAAAGCCUGACGGAGCAAUACCGCGUGAGGGAAGACGGCCUAUGGGUUGUAAACCUCUUUUCUCAGGGAGGAACUCAAUGACGUUACCUGAGGAAUAAGCAUCGGCUAACUCCGUGCCAGCAGCCGCGGUAAGACGGAGGAUGCAAGUGUUAUCCGGAAUCACUGGGCGUAAAGCGUCUGUAGGUGGCUUAACAAGUCAACUGUUAAAUCUUGAAGCUCAACUUCGAAAUCGCAGUCGAAACUGUUAGGCUAGAGUAUAGUAGGGGUAAAGGGAAUUUCCAGUGGAGCGGUGAAAUGCGUAGAGAUUGGAAAGAACACCGAUGGCGAAGGCACUUUACUGGGCUAUUACUGACACUCAGAGACGAAAGCUAGGGUAGCAAAUGGGAUUAGAUACCCCAGUAGUCCUAGCCGUAAACAAUGGAUACUAGAUGUUGGGCAGAUCGACCUGUUCAGUAUUAAAGCUAAGGCGUUAAGUAUCCCGCCUGGGAAGUAUGCGCGCAAGCGUGAAACUCAAAGGAAUUUGACGGGGUCCGCACAUCGUGGAGCAUGUGUUUAAUUCGAUGCCAGCGGAGACCUUACCAGGUUUGACAUGAUAGAUUUUUGUUUGAAGAAAAAAUGCGAUUGGACGUAUGCCAGUGUGCAUGCUGUCUCAGCUCGAUGUCGUGAAGGUCGCUUAGUCCCGCACGAA
rnacentral:rRNA from 1 species